GUGGGGAAUCUUAGACAAUGGGCGCAAGCCUGAUCUAGCCAUGCCGCGUGAUCGAUGAAGGCCUUAGGGUUGUAAAGAUCUUUCAGUGGGGAAGAUAAUGACUGUACCCACAGAAGAAGCCCCGGCUAACUCCGUGCCAGCAGCCGCGGUAAUACGGAGGGGGCUAGCGUUGUUCGGAAUUACUGGGCGUAAAGCGCACGUAGGCGGAACAGAAAGUCAGAGGUGAAAUCACAGGGCUCAACCUUGGAACUGCCUUUGAAACUCCUGUUCUUGAGUUCGAGAGAGGUGAGUGGAAUUCCGAGUGUAGAGGUGAAAUUCGUAGAUAUUCGGAGGAACACCAGUGGCGAAGGCGGCUCACUGGCUCGAUACUGACGCUGAGGUGCGAAAGCGUGGGGAGCAAACAGGAUUAGAAACCCCGGUAGUCC
rnacentral:rRNA from 1 species